rnacentral:rRNA from 1 species
UACAGAGGUCUCGAGCGUUAGGCGGAAUCACUGGGCUUAAAGCGUGUGUAGGCGGAUUGCUAAGUACCUUGUGAAAUCCCACGGCUUAACCGUGGAACUGCUUGGUAUACUGGCUGUCUUGAGCCACUUAGGGGCAACCGGAACAAACGGUGGAGCGGUGAAAUGCGUAGAUAUCAGGAAGAACACCAAUGGCGAAAGCAGCUCUCUGGGACGGUACUGACGCUGAGACGCGAAAGCGUGGGGAGCGAACAGG